GUUAAAAGUUCCUGAAGUUUUGGAAGGAAGGGAUUCUGUCGAAUGCUGGCGAUUGGAACUCUCGGACUCAAAUUGAUCACAUCAAAUAUCACGCUUUUCAGGAUCACUGCUUCCUAAAGGUUGGUACAGAGGUCUUCACAAAACUUUGUUUGAAAUGAACCUCAGUAUGGUUACAACCUGCUACAAAGUAACACUGAUGUAUAUACAGUAACAAAGGACACAAAAUCCUACAGCUUCAUCACAACAAGCCCUGAGGUUUGGUUUUGUAAAGAAUUAUCCUCUAUUUUGGAAAUGUUGGCCGUUGUAUACUGUUGUUGUUAUGGAACUUUCGGCGGUAAAAUCCGCCAUUUUGAAAAUGGGUCAAGCUCUGUCAAAGCACCCUGAGUAUUUCCUAUUCAGUGCAGGGAGUGUGGCAGUGGUUUAGUCGCCUGUCUUACCUUCUUUUCCAACGGAACUCUCUCAAGGUUAAAAACCAAUUAUUUCUUCAUGUAUUUCGUUGGUCAAUGAAUAAACUUUUAUUAGCUUUUGUGAUGUUACAUACAUUGUAAAAAAAC